rnacentral:rRNA from 1 species
CGGUUAAGUUAGAAAGGGCGCACGGUGGAUGCCUUGGCACUAGGAGCCGAUGAAGGACGGGACGAACACCGAUAUGCUUCGGGGAGCUGUAAGCAAGCUUUGAUCCGGAGAUUUCCGAAUGGGGAAACCCACUGCUCGUAAUGGAGCAGUAUCCAUAUCUGAAUUCAUAGGAUAUGAGAAGGCAGACCCGGGGAACUGAAACAUCUAAGUACCCGGAGGAAGAGAAAGCAAAUGCGAUUCCCUGAGUAGCGGCGAGCGAAACGGGAACAGCCCAAACCAAGAGGCUUGCCUCUUGGGGUUGUAGGACACUCUGUACGGAGUUACAAAGGAACGAGGUAGAUGAAGAGGUCUGGAAAGGCCCGCCAUAGGAGGUAACAGCCCUGUAGUCAAAACUUCGUUCUCUCCUGAGUGGAUCCUGAGUACGGCGGAACACGUGAAAUUCCGUCGGAAUCCGGGAGGACCAUCUCCCAAGGCUAAAUACUCCCUAGUGACCGAUAGUGAACCAGUACCGUGAGGGAAAGGUGAAAAGCACCCCGGAAGGGGAGUGAAAGAGAUCCUGAAACCGUGUGCCUACAAGUAGUCAGAGCCCGUUAACGGGUGAUGGCGUGCCUUUUGUAGAAUGAACCGGCGAGUUACGAUCCCGUGCAAGGUUAAGUUUGAAAAGACGGAGCCGCAGCGAAAGCGAGUCUGAAUAGGGCGCAUGAGUACGUGGUCGUAGACCCGAAACCAGGUGAUCUACCCAUGUCCAGGGUGAAGUUCAGGUAACACUGAAUGGAGGCCCGAACCCACGCACGUUGAAAAGUGCGGGGAUGAGGUGUGGGUAGGGGUGAAAUGCCAAUCGAACCUGGAGAUAGCUGGUUCUCUCCGAAAUAGCUUUAGGGCUAGCCUCAAGGUAAGAGUCUUGGAGGUAGAGCACUGAUUGGACUAGGGGCCCCUACCGGGUUACCGAAUUCAGUCAAACUCCGAAUGCCAAAGACUUAUCCUUGGGAGUCAGACUGCGAGUGAUAAGAUCCGUAGUCGAAAGGGAAACAGCCCAGACCGCCAGCUAAGGUCCCAAAGUAUACGUUAAGUGGAAAAGGAUGUGGAGUUGCUUAGACAACCAGGAUGUUGGCUUAGAAGCAGCCACCAUUUAAAGAGUGCGUAAUAGCUCACUGGUCGAGUGACUCUGCGCCGAAAAUGUACCGGGGCUAAACGUAUCACCGAAGCUGCGGACUGUUCUUACGAACAGUGGUAGGAGAGCGUUCUAAGGGCUGUGAAGCGAGACCGGAAGGACUCGUGGAGCGCUUAGAAGUGAGAAUGCCGGUAUGAGUAGCGAAAGAGGGGUGAGAAUCCCCUCCACCGAAUGCCUAAGGUUUCCUGAGGAAGGCUCGUCCGCUCAGGGUUAGUCGGGACCUAAGCCGAGGCCGAAAGGCGUAGGCGAUGGACAACAGGUUGAUAUUCCUGUACCACCUCCUCACCAUUUGAGCAAUGGGGGGACGCAGGAGGAUAGGGUAAGCGCGGUAUUGGAUAUCCGCGUCCAAGCAGUUAGGCUGGGAAAUAGGCAAAUCCGUUUCCCAUAAGGCUGAGCUGUGAUGGCGAGCGAAAUAUAGUAGCGAAGUUCCUGAUUCCACACUGCCAAGAAAAGCCUCUAGCG